AAUCAACGCUGGCGGCGUGCCUCAGACAUGCAAGUCGAACGCUAAAGUCCCCUUCGGGGGACGAAGUAGAGUGGCGCACGGGUGAGUAACACGUAGGUAAUCUACCUUUGGAUGGGGAAUAACAACCGGAAACGGUUGCUAAUACCGCAUAAUGCAGCGGCACCUAAAUGGUGACAGUUGUUAAAGCGGGGGGAUCGAAAGACCUCGCGUCUAAAGAGGAGCCUGCGGCGGAUUAGCUAGUUGGUAAGGAAUGGCUUACCAAGGCUACGAUCCGUAACCGGCCUGAGAGGGCGGUCGGUCACACUGACACUGACAUACGGGUCAGACUCCUACGGGA
rnacentral:rRNA from 1 species